rnacentral:rRNA from 1 species
UACAGAGGUGCCAAGCGUUGUUCGGAUUUACUGGGCGUAAAGGGCGCGUAGGCGGCCAGCACAAGUCAGUUGUGAAAUCUCCGAGCUUAACUCGGAAAGGUCAACUGAUACUGUGCGGCUAGAGUGCGGAAGGGGCAACUGGAAUUCUUGGUGUAGCGGUGAAAUGCGUAGAUAUCAAGAGGAACACCUGCGGCGAAGGCGGGUUGCUGGGCCGACACUGACGCUGAUGCGCGAAAGCCAGGGGAGCGAACGGG